UGGAAAUGGAAAACGAAAGGGUGGG
rnacentral:piRNA from 1 species